AAUGAACGCUGGCGGCAUGGAUUAGGCAUGCAAGUCGAACGGACCGUGUUUCGCAAGAGAUGCGGUCAGUGGCGAAAGGGUGAGUAACACGUGAGCAACCUGCCCCCGAGUCCGGGACAGCCCGUGGAAACGCGGAUUAAUACCGGAUGUGGUACUCUGUCGCAUGGCAGAGCCACUGAAGAUUUAUCGCUCGGGGAUGGGCUCGCGGCCCAUAAGCUUGUUGGCGGGGUGACGGCCCACCAAGGCUAUGACGGGUAGGUGGUCUGAGAGGAUGGUCACCCACACUGGGACUGAGACACUGCCCAGACUCCUACGGGAGGCUGCAGUCGAGAAUCUUCCGCAAUGGGCGCAAGCCUGACGGAGCGAUGCCGCGUGAGGGAUGAAGGCCUUCGGGUUGUAAACCUCUGUCAGAGGGGACAAAGAAUGUGAUGGUACCCUCAGAGGAAGCCACGGCUAACUACGUGCCAGCCGCCGCGGUAAGAC
rnacentral:rRNA from 1 species